rnacentral:misc_RNA from 2 species
AAGUCGUAACAAGGUCUCCGUUGGUGAACCAGCGGAGGGAUCAUUACAGAGUUUACAACUCCCAAACCCACUGUGAACCUUACAGCGUCGUUGCCUCGGCGGACCGCCCCCGGCGCCCGCCGGAGGACCCAAACUCUUGUAUUUGCAGGAUGCAUUGCUCUGAGUGAAAACAAGCAAAUGAAUCAAAACUUUCAACAACGGAUCUCUUGGUUCUG